rnacentral:rRNA from 1 species
CCAGACUCCUACGGGAGGCAGCAGUGGGGAAUAUUGGGCAAUGGGCGCAAGCCUGACCCAGCAACGCCGCGUGAAGGAAGAAGGCUUUCGGGUUGUAAACUUCUUUUCUCAGGGACGAAGAAAGUGACGGUACCUGAGGAAUAAGCCACGGCUAACUACGUGCCAGCAGCCGCGGUAAUACGUAGGUGGCAAGCGUUAUCCGGAUUUACUGGGUGUAAAGGGCGCGUAGGCGGGAUGGCAAGUCAGAUGUGAAAUCCGGGGGCUCAACCCCUGAACUGCAUUUGAAACUGUCGUUCUUGAGUACUGGAGAGGUUGACGGAAUUCCUAGUGUAGCGGUGAAAUGCGUAGAUAUUAGGAGGAACACCAGUGGCGAAGGCGGUCAACUGGACAGCAACUGACGCUGGGGCGCGAAAGCGUGGGGAGCAAACAGGAUUAGAUACCCUUGUA